rnacentral:lncRNA from 1 species
UCAAAUUUCAUAACUAAUGUUUCUAUACAAGUAAUAUGUGUCCUCGUGAAUGUGCUGCAACUGAAUCCUUUCUCUAAUUUUUCAGCUGUACUAAGAUUAGUUGUUUGUGCAGAAUGAAGGCCUUUGUGAUGCAGGUUGAGGAGGUAGACGACUCGGAAGAGGAAGAUGAUAACAGUGAUGAGAAUGGCUGGGCUCUUGUCACCAUUGGAGCGAGGUUCUCAUGUAAUGGUCUCGAAUCUAGGGAGAGUUCGGUACUGCAAUUUAGUUCCUACAGUAAAUUGCAUUUUCCCUAUGAAAUUAGCGUGCCGUAGUUUGUCAAUAUCACCUGAAUUGGACCAUCUGAAAUUCACAAGCUUUACCUCAACGAAAUAGGAAGACAUUAGAAAUUUUGAGUGCCAGCCUGUUUGCUUGUAGAAAGAUAGCUUGCAAUGUUAGCCUGCUUUUUUGUUUGUUUCACAAGCUUCAAAUAUUCUACAGUGCUGAUGGUGAUGGAGGGGUUUGGUUACAGUGUAUUGGUGUACAACCCUCCCAAGUUUUCAAGCAUUUUAGUCUCCCAUCUUUUGCAAUAUAGAAAGUCUCAUGAUACAUUUUCUUCUGCAAUGUUAUUUAUAGGAUUGUAGUACAUGUUCGGUUCAGUGCUCCUGGCAGCUAUAAUUGUUGUUGGUAUGUGCACCCCUCAUCCUCCUGGUUACUUCUCACACAAAAAAAUGGUUUUUGUGUAGUGUUGGGCGAAGCAAGCGGCAUGCGGCCCGUGCGCCGUGAACCACUCCAACAAGUGCCCGGCGUGCACAGACGUCAAUGGCUUGCAUGAGCGCGACAAGGGGGCUGAC